GGAGGACGUGGUGAAGGAGAUGGAGGAGGACGAGGACGUGGUGAAGGAGGAAGGCGAGGAGGGAAAGGAGAAAGACGUGGUGAAGGACGAGGUAGAAGAGGAGUAAGGGCAAGGAGACAAGCAGUCUCGGAUGAAAUUCGAGCCACUUUAGUGGACCAUGUUCUUGUCCAUGGUAUGACCAUGAGGGAGGAUGGGCAAUCCAGCCUAAUUUGAGUCGCUUCACCGUCGCCUCCAUCAUCAGAACCUUCAGGGAGGAAAACAGGAUACAGAGACGACCAUCUGGUGGUGAGAGGUUAAGGCUUUUGUCAGAGGAGCAAGAGAGGGAGCUUGUAAACAUGGUCAUUGCCAAUAAUGUAAUCCGCCUGCGAGAGAUUCAAAGGAGAGUGAUUGAGGAUAAUAAUAAUUUUCAAGGAAUAAAUUCCAUCAGCCUUUCCAUAAUUGAUCGCAUUCUCCGAAAGCAAUGGUUCCAGAUGAAACAGGUGUACCGCGUCCCUUUUGAACGAAACUCUGACAGGGUAAAAGAUCCACGAGUGGAUUAUGUUCAGGUAUGACUUUUGAUAUUGUAUGAAGUAUUCUAUUGGGUUUUGAUGUGUUUUGCAGAGAAUCUUUGAGAUUGAAGGCUGGCCUGUUCCACCUGAAAUUAUCUUUGUGGAUGAGGCUGGUUUCAACCUCACCAAAAAAAGGAGAAUGGGGAGGAAUAUAAUCGGCCAUCGGGCUAUUGUAAAUGUCCCUGGUCAGCAUGGAGGGAAUGUCACGAUGUGCGCAGCCAUCAGCCAAUGAGGGGUACUCCACCGCCAUCCCAGUCUAGGACCCUAUAAUACUAUGCUCCUUCUUGCAUUCCUUGACGGUCUAAGAGAGCAUAUGUUCCAGCUGGACCACAGGGAACCAGCACAACCAGAGCACCCUCACUAUGUGGUUGUUUGGGACAACGUCAGCUUCCAUCGCGCUGCUCUGGUUCGUGACAGGUUUACCGAUAACCCAAUAUUUUCCAACCUCUUUCUACCUGCAUACUCUCUAUUUCUUAACCCAAUAGAGGAGUUUUUUUGGCAUGGCGGUAGAAAGUGUAUGACCGAGAACCUUAUAUGCGUGUUCACCUUCUUCAAGCCAUGAAAGAAGCCUGCCUAGACAUAUCAGUAGAUGCGUGCCAGGGGUGGAUCAGGCAUGCAAGAGGGUUUUACCCCCCCUGCCUGGCUAGGGCCAAUUCUUAUUUAUUUUUUUACUGUGUAGUACUGUAAUACAGUAAUGAAUGAAAUGUGCCAAUGUAACCAUUGGUUGUGUCUUGUGUUCAUCUGAAAAGGUUUGUGGCAACAUAAAUAAACAGUUUUGGAAAUGUUGUUUUGAAUUUAUUACACCAGUGUGUAAAACUAAGUUUUAGUGUGUAUGUUGUGACGGCUUGUGUGUCCCGUCUGAGGUCAAAGUUUGGUUUUUCAGCAAGAGUUGAUGGUUUUGAUAUAGUGCUUCAUUUUGCCCUGAAAAUUUGAAUUGUGUGAGAAGUUAUGGAUUUGUGUUUACUGUUUUGAGAAUACGAGGCAUAGGUUCAAGAAAUGUGUUUAAGCAAUCGAGAAAAACUGUAAGUGGGAGAACUUGCACAAUUGGUUGCUGACUAAAUACUUUUUUGCCCCACUGUAUAUAUAUUACAUAAUCCAUUACAUUGAGUAAAACCAGACCUUGAUAACUUUAUUGGUCAUAAUUUACUCAUUCAUUUAAAAACUGCUAUUCCACUGAACACCUUAAAGCGGCACUGUGUGAAAUCCUGCCAGCAAUUACACCACUUGUAUCCUCCUUGUUUUCCUUUAUGGAACGAGAACGUUACAGUACUAGCUAAACCAGGGUGGUUUAGUUUCGAGGAAUAGUACUGCAAGUGUCUAAAGGGAGUAUAGGGAGAUUUCAAGUAAGUGUAAACUGAGAGACGGACCAGCGAGAAAGUUUAAAUGGGGAAUAUGUCAGUCAUUCAGAUUCCUUUUGUAGAUUUUUUUUGUUGAAACUUUAAAUAAAAACCUUAACUGCAAAUGUCUACUGUUAAUUUUCACUUAUUUAUGCUAGUAGUACAGUAGAAAUCUUACAUAUUGCCCCUUUAAC
ensembl:lncRNA